rnacentral:rRNA from 1 species
CGGAGGGUGCGAGCGUUGUCCGGAAUCACUGGGCGUAAAGGGCGCGUAGGUGGUGGAGUAAGCGUGUGGUGAAAGCUCGGGGCUCAACCCUGAGUCUGCCAUGCGAACUGCUCGACUUGAGCACUGUAGAGGCAGGUGGAAUUCCGGGUGUAGCGGUGGAAUGCGUAGAGAUCCGGAAGAACACCGGUGGCGAAGGCGGCCUGCUGGGCAGUGGCUGACACUGAGGCGCGACAGCGUGGGGAGCAAACAGGAUUAGAUACCCUGGUAGUCCACGCCGUAAACGAUGGGCACUAGGUGCUUGGCGGAGCGACCCGCUGAGUGCCGACGCUAACGCAUUAAGUGCCCCGCCUGGGGAGUACGGCCGCAAGGCUG